rnacentral:lncRNA from 1 species
GUGAAAAUGUUUGGUUAGUUACAUUAGAAAAAUUAAACAUUUUUAUUUUAUCAUUGUUUUAAAAAGAAACAGAUGCUCACAUUAGCAUUUUCUCUAAGAUGUUGUGAUAUUAUGGUGGAGCGUGCACACAUUUUAAAAGCACAUUUCAAAUGUCUUCCUUUCCCUAAGAUGACUCAGUCAUUGAUAAGUGGAACAUUAAUCAGAUGAGAUGCCACAAAAAUGUUGCCUGGUUCCUGGCUUGCUGAUGGAGAGCCUGACUGGACUCCCACCAUGCCUCCACACAGGGAAUCUGUCUCCUUGACUCCUAGAAGUCACCAGCUCCCUGGUCUUCUGCCUUUCUUGAUGCGGCUUCUCACACCUUGACUUCCAUGUCUAAGCCUCAAUUUUAUGAUGGAAGCAAAUAG